AAUGAAAUUGAUCCUUCAGUACAAAAGCUGAAAUUAACCCAUAAGACGAGAAGACCCUGUGGAGCUUCAAAACCAAAACCACCAAACAUGCUUCCUGGUUUUUUAGUUGGGGCGACUUUGGAGCAAAAAAAACCCUCCAAAACAUAAAUCUAUUUAUUAAGACUAACACAUCAAAAAUAAUAUCAUAGACCCAGCAGUACCUAUUUACUGCCUGACCAAUGAACCAAGUUACCCCAGGGAUAACAGCGCCAUCCUCUUCUAGAGUCCCUAUCGACAAGAGGGUUUACGACCUCGAUGUUGGAUCAGGACACCCC
rnacentral:rRNA from 1 species